CUUCACUUGUUGGUGAGGUAAUGGCUCACCAAGGCGACGACGGGUAGCCGGCCUGAGAGGGUGACCGGCCACACUGGGACUGAGACACGGCCCAGACUCCUACGGGAGGCAGCAGUGGGGAAUAUUGCACAAUGGGCGAAAGCCUGAUGCAGCGACGCCGCGUGAGGGAUGACGGCCUUCGGGUUGUAAACCUCUUUCAGUAGGGAACAAGGCCAGACGUUGUCUGGUUGAGGGUACUUGCAGAAGAAGCGCCGGCUAACUACGUGCCAGCAGCCGCGGUAAUACGUAGGGCGCAAGCGUUAUCCGGAAUUAUUGGGCGUAAAGAGCUCGUAGGCGGUUUGUCGCGUCUGCCGUGAAAGUCCGGGGCUCAACCCCGGAUCUGCGGUGGGUACGGGCAGACUAGAGUGAUGUAGGGGAGACUGGAAUUCCUGGUGUAGCGGUGAAAUGCGCAGAUAUCAGGAGGAACACCGAUGGCGAAGGCAGGUCUCUGGGCAUUAACUGACGCUGAGGAGCGAAAGCAUGGGGAGCGAACAGGAUUAGAUACCCUGGUAGUCCAUGCCGUAAACGUUGGGCACUAGGUGUGGGGGACAUUCCACGU
rnacentral:rRNA from 1 species